AGGUACCAUGAAAAGACACAGCCAUUAACAUAUGUGUUCAACUAAACACAGAGCAUUGACUUGAAACAGUACAUGAUCAGAAUGAAGACAAUACUAUAAGGAACUACAGGGAGAAACUAAUAUUGUCAGGGUGGAGAGGAUAAUGGAGAAAACAAAGAAGGAGGCAUUAUACCUAGGACUCCAGGGAGAGAAGGAAACAGGCAAAGGAGCACAUGAACAUGAAAGUUCUGGUGUGUUGACACACG
rnacentral:lncRNA from 1 species